UUAUUGUUGUUGAUGCACAAAACCGGAGGUCUUGGAACAACGUAAAUUCGACCGUGAAUCUGCAAGAAUGUAAAUAACACAAGAUGUAUCGUGGUUCACCCCAAGGUUUGGGCUACGUCCACACUGAUUAUGUAUUUAUCUGAGGGAGAGAGAGCUCUAAGAGUGAGAGCUUGGAGAGGGGGUGAGAGGGCCUAGGAAAUUGGCCUCCUUUAAUUGUGAGGGUGAGGGGUCCUUUUAUAGAAUAAGGACUCCUCACUUAUUACAUAUUUGCCUAUUCCUUUAUCACAUAAUUACAUUAAGUCCCCCGAUUAUUUGUACGAGAUCUAAAUACCAGGCCCUAAAUAUGGUAUAA
rnacentral:lncRNA from 1 species